rnacentral:rRNA from 1 species
UGUCAGCCGCCGCGGUAAUACGUAGGGUGCAAGCGUUAUCCGGCUUUAUUGGGCGUAAAGAGCUCGUAGGCGGUUCGUCGCGUCUGGUGUGAAAGUCCAUCGCUUAACGGUGGAUCGGCGCCGGGUACGGGCGGACUGGAGUGCGGUAGGGGAGACUGGAAUUCCCGGUGUAACGGUGGAAUGUGUAGAUAUCGGGAAGAACACCGAUGGCGAAGGCAGGUCUCUGGGCCGUCACUGACGCUGAGGAGCGAAAGCGUGGGGAGCGAACAGGAUUAGAUACCCUGGUAGUCCACGCCGUAAACGGUGGAUGCUGGAUGUGGGGCCCGUUCCACGGGUUCCGUGUCGGAGCUAACGCGUUAAGCAUCCCGCCUGGGGAGUACGGCCGCAAGGCUAAAACUCAAAUAAAUUGACGG